AAAAAUAGGAUUAGUACCUAUUAUUAAAAUGUAAAUUAAUUCUAAAGUAGUAAUAGUUAUGUUCUUGAACUUAAAAAAUUUGGCGGUAUUUUAGUCUAUCCAGAGGAACCUGUUUUGUAAUCGAUAAUCCACGAUGGACCUUACUUAAGUUUGUAAUCAGUUUAUAUACCGUCGUUAUCAGAAUAUUUUAUAAGAAUAAUAAUAUUCAAUAAUUUUAAUAAAAAUUUAUAUCAGAUCAAGGUGUAGCUUAUAUUUAAGUAAUAAUGGGUUACAAUAAAAAUAUUUAUACGGAUAAAAUUAUGAAAAAAUUUUUGAAGGUGGAUUUGGUAGUAAAAUUAUAUAGAUAAAUAAUUUGAUUUUAGCUCUAAAAUAUGUACACAUCGCCCGUCGCUCUUAUUAUUAAGGUAAGAUAAGUCGUAACAUAGUA
rnacentral:rRNA from 1 species